UACGUAGGGUGCAAGCGUUGUCCGGAAUUAUUGGGCGUAAAGAGCGCGUAGGCGGCCCGGUAAGUCCGCUGUGAAAGUCAAAGGCUCAACCUUUGAAUGUCAGCGGAUACUGCCGGGCUAGAGUCCGGAAGAGGCGAGUGGAACUCCUGGUGUAGCGGUGGAAUGCGCAGAUAUCAGGAAGAACACCAACGGCGAAGGCAGCUCGCUGGGACGGAACUGACGCUGAGGCGCGAAAGCGUGGGGAGCGAACAGG
rnacentral:rRNA from 1 species